UAACCUGCCCAUAAGACUGGGAUAACUCCGGGAAACCGGGGCUAAUACCGGAUAAUAUUUUGAACUGCAUGGUUCGAAAUUGAAAGGCGGCUUCGGCUGUCACUUAUGGAUGGACCCGCGUCGCAUUAGCUAGUUGGUGAGGUAACGGCUCACCAAGGCAACGAUGCGUAGCCGACCUGAGAGGGUGAUCGGCCACACUGGGACUGAUACACGGCCCAGACUCCUACGGGAGGCAGCAGUAGGGAAUCUUCCGCAAUGGACGAAAGUCUGACGGAGCAACGCCGCGUGAGUGAUGAAGGCUUUCGGGUCGUAAAACUCUGUUGUUAGGGAAGAAC
rnacentral:rRNA from 1 species